GGAACACGCUGCAGUCCAACAAAGUGGGGCUUGUUGAUUGACGCUCCCAGCAGGAAGCAAGACUGCACACCUUGACGAAACAUGGGACAUCUCAUCACAGAGUGACUUUCUCUCAUGCUGAUGUGCUGUAAAAUUAUGUUUGACCGGAGAACACCAUGGUCUAGCUGUGAGUGCCAGGCCAGCUCCGAGCAAACAGCUGCAGGAGGACAUGGUAUCAUCUCAUUCAUCACUGUGUCUCCAACAUCAAAAGCAGCCCCAACGUAUGGCUCUGGUAUAUUUGGAAAUCAUUCUGAUGCUUUCAAAGAAAGCAUUCCAGGCCAUCUCCUGCAAUGCUCAUGGCUUCACGUCUCCUCGACACGGAUGGUCACAAAUGCAGCUCUCUAGUCCAGACCUCACCUCUGAGCUCUCAACCCUCUGUCACCUCUGCUGGUCUCUCUCAAAGGCUUCUUCCACUACCUGCCCCUCCAGCUUCUGCUCAGGACAGAGGGUUGUUGGGCAGUGCUGAGAAUCCAGUCAGUGUUUAGUUUCAUGAAUUUACAGUGUGGUCUACACUGUGUAAGGCCCUGUGCUAGCUUUACGUCACCCACCCCCUCUUAGCCGGUUUUGCUCACAUCUCAUCUGCUUAACACGUCGUGUCGUUUCCCCAACCAUUUCCACACCGUCAAAUCCUAUCCAUCUUAAUGGCUUAACUUUAAAAGCCAUCUUUCCUGUAAAGUAUUCACUGAUAGCCCCAGCUCGAAAACAAAACUUUCUUCCUCUUAUUCCUCCUUUGUCUAAAUUUUACUUAUGGUUCUUACUAUUUUCUAUCUCUUAAUAUACCUGCGGAUGUACAAGUCUUACAUUGCCUCAUCUGCAUUUACUAAGUUCUUAAAUUCCUGAAGGCAAGG